rnacentral:rRNA from 1 species
GACGAACGCUGGCGGCGUGCUUAACACAUGCAAGUCGAACGGGAAGGCCCUGCUUUUGUGGGGUGCUCGAGUGGCGAACGGGUGAGUAACACGUGAGUAACCUGCCCUUGACUUUGGGAUAACUUCAGGAAACUGGGGCUAAUACCGGAUAGGAGCUCCUGCUGCUUGGUGUGGGUUGGAAAGUUUCGGCGGUUGGGGAUGGACUCGCGGCUUAUCAGCUUGUUGGUGGGGUAGUGGCUUACCAAGGCUUUGACGGGUAGCCGGCCUGAGAGGGUGACCGGCCACAUUGGGACUGAGGUACGGCCCAGACUCCUACGGGAGGCAGCAGUGGGGAAUAUUGCACAAUGGGCGGAAGCCUGAUGCAGCAACGCCGCGUGCGGGAUGACGGCCUUCGGGUUGUAACCCGCUUUCGCCUGUGACGAAGCGUGAGUGACGGUAAUGGGUAAAGAAGCACCGGCUAACUACGUG